AUUGAACGCUGGCGGCAUGCCUUACACAUGCAAGUCGAACGGUAACGGGCCUUCGGGUGCCGACGAGUGGCGAACGGGUGAGUAAUGCAUCGGAACGUACCUUUCAGUGGGGGAUAACGUAGCGAAAGUUACGCUAAUACCGCAUAUUCUGUGAGCAGGAAAGCAGGGGAUCGCAAGACCUUGCGCUGAUUGAGCGGCCGAUGUCAGAUUAGAUAGUUGGUGAGGUAAAGGCUCACCAAGGCGACGAUCUGUAGCGGGUCUGAGAGGAUGAUCCGCCACACUGGAACUGAGACACGGUCCAGACUCCUACGGGAGGCGGCAGUAGGGAAUUUUGGACAAAGGGGGCAACCCUGAUCCAGCCAUGCCGCGUGAGUGAAGAAGGCCUUCGGGUUGUAAAGCUCUUUCGGCCGGGAAGAAAUCGUAUGGGCUAAUACCCUGUGCGGAUGACGGUACCGGCAUAAGAAGCACCGGCUAACUACGUGCCAGCAGCCGCGGUAACAC
rnacentral:rRNA from 1 species